CAGCAGCCGCGGGAAUACGAAGGGUGCAAGCGUUACUCGGAAUUACUGGGCGUAAAGCGUGCGUAGGUGGUGGUUUAAGUCCGUUGUGAAAGCCCUGGGCUCAACCUGGGAAUUGCAGUGGAUACUGGGUCACUAGAGUGUGGUAGAGGAUAGUGGAAUUUCCGGUGUAGCAGUGAAAUGCGCAGAGAUCGGAAGGAACAUCUGUGGCGAAGGCGACUAUCUGGGCCAACACUGACACUGAGGCACGAAAGCGUGGGGAGCAAACAGGAUUAGAUACCCGCGUAGUCCCUGUCUCUUAUAC
rnacentral:rRNA from 1 species